rnacentral:tRNA from 1 species
GAGGGUGUAGCUCAGUGGUAGAGCGCGUGCUUAGCAUGCACAAGGUCCUGGGUUCAGUUCCCAGUACCUCCA